CACGUCUUCAGUUCAGUUGUGCAGCCAUUUUAACCUGUGACAAGUGCUAAGUUCUUUCGAGUUUUUUUUUGUGCCGUGAAUAUCGGUGCUAUAUCGACAAGAUUACUUCAAAGACUGUGUUGUGUUAAAAGUGAACGGAAAGGCUCUAGCACCUUGAAGAUGGUCUCCGUCUAGAGGAAAUUCGGCUGGUUCACAAAUAAUUAUUGGCUCGUCUGCCAAGAUCUCUUGUGGUAUGUUGGGAAAGACGAUGACGUGAGCUCCAUCAACAGAUAUGGAAAGACUACGAAGAAAAAGAUGAGGGACGAAGAUAUCUCCUAACUUCCAGAUAUAUUUCGGGGAGAAACAAAGCAGUGAUAAUGAUGUAGUGGAAUUGACAUCUGUUAAAACUGAGGAGACUGCUUACUUGAGGACUUAUAGAAUGGAAAGCAGACUAUCAGAGCUACUUAGGUUUAUCAGAGAGGAGACAACUAAAGCAUCAGCAUGUUGGAGGAUAUAGAGA